rnacentral:rRNA from 1 species
CUCGAUGUCGGCUCAUCUCAUCCUGGGGCUGAAGCAGGUCCCAAGGGUAUGGCUGUUCGCCAUUUAAAGAGGUACGCGAGCUGGGUUUAGAACGUCGUGAGACAGUUCGGUCCCUAUCUACCGUGGGCGCUGGAAAUUUGAGAGGAUCUGCUCCUAGUACGAGAGGACCAGAGUGGACGAACCUCUGGUGUACCGGUUGUGACGCCAGUCGCAUCGCCGGGUAGCUAUGUUCGGAAGGGAUAACCGCUGAAAGCAUCUAAGCGGGAAGCCUACCUCAAGAUAAGAUUUCCCUAGGAAUUUAUUCCUCUAAAGAGCCGUUCGAGACUAGGACGUUGAUAGGUUGGAUGUGGAAGCAUAGUGAUAUGUGAAGCUGACCAAUACUAAUUGCUCGUGAGGCUUGACUAUACAACACCCAAGCAGUUG